AUUCGGACAAGCAAUCUGCCACAUCUGUUGCUGUGCAGGUAGAAGUGAGCUUUGGUGUGUUGGAGGGAGCGCAGGUGACGCUGGUGCAGGAGGGUUGACAGUUCAACCAUAGUGUGGCUAGAUCUUAGAAGGUAGCUAGAGUCUGCUGGGACUUGUGUAGGAGUUCCCAUCUUUGAAUGUCUUUGGUCAGCUGACGUACGCC